rnacentral:pre_miRNA from 1 species
AUAUGAUGAUGAUGAUGAUGAUGACGAAGAUGAUGAUGAUUAUGAUAGAGGAAUGAAAAACAAACUGAGGUUGGCCAUAAUCAUCAUCAUCAUCAUCAACAUCAUCGUCAACA